AGGGAAACCGAGUCUUAACUGGGCGUUAAGUUGCAGGGUAUAGACCCGAAACCCGGUGAUCUAGCCAUGGGCAGGUUGAAGGUUGGGUAACACUAACUGGAGGACCGAACCGACUAAUGUUGAAAAAUUAGCGGAUGACUUGUGGCUGGGGGUGAAAGGCCAAUCAAACCGGGAGAUAGCUGGUUCUCCCCGAAAGCUAUUUAGGUAGCGCCUCGUGAACUCAUCUUCGGGGGUAGAGCACUGUUUCGGCUAGGGGGUCAUCCCGACUUACCAACCCGAUGCAAACUGCGAAUACCGAAGAAUGUUAUCACGGGAGACACACGGCGGGUGCUAACGUCCGUCGUGAAGAGGGAAACAACCCAGACCGCCAGCUAAGGUCCCAAAGUCACAGUUAAGUGGGAAACGAUGUGGGAAGGCUCAGACAGCCAGGAUGUUGGCUUAGAAGCAGCCAUCAUUUAAAGAAAGCGUAAUAGCUCACUGGUCGAGUCGGCCUGCGCGGAAGAUGUAACGGGGCUAAACUGUGCACCGAAGCUGCGGCAGCGACGCUUAUGCGUUGUUGGGUAGGGGAGCGUUCUGUAAGCCUGCGAAGGUGUCCUGUGAGGGAUGCUGGAGGUAUCAGAAGUGCGAAUGCUGACAUAAGUAACGAUAAUGCGGGUGAAAAGCCCGCUCGCCGGAAGACCAAGGGUUCCUGUCCAACGUUAAUCGGGGCAGGGUGAGUCGACCCCUAAGGCGAGGCCGAAAGGCGUAGUCGAUGGGAAACGGGUUAAUAUUCCCGUACUUGGUGUUACUGCGAAGGGGGGACGGAGAAGGCUAUGUUGGCCGGGCGACGGUUGUCCCGGUUUAAGCGUGUAGGCUGGUUUUCCAGGCAAAUCCGGAAAAUCAAGGCUGAGGC
rnacentral:rRNA from 1 species